rnacentral:rRNA from 1 species
GAUGAACGCUGGCGGCGUGCCUAAUACAUGCAAGUCGAGCGAACAGACGAGGAGCUUGCUCCUCUGACGUUAGCGGCGGACGGGUGAGUAACACGUGGAUAACCUACCUAUAAGACUGGGAUAACUUCGGGAAACCGGAGCUAAUACCGGAUAAUAUAUUGAACCGCAUGGUUCAAUAGUGAAAGACGGUUUUGCUGUCACUUAUAGAUGGAUCCGAGCCGCAUUAGCUAGUUGGUAAGGUAACGGCUUACCAAGGCAACGAUGCGUAGCCGACCUGAGAGGGUGAUCGGCCACACUGGAACUGAGACGCGGUCCAGACUCCUACGGGAGGCAGCAGUAGGGAAUCGUCCGCAAUGGGCGAAAGCUUGACGGAGCAACGCCGCGUGAGUGAUGAAGGUCUUCGGAUCGUAAAACUCUGUUAUUAGGGAAGAACAAAUGUGUAAGUAACUAUGCACGUCUUGACGGUACCUAAUCAGAAAGCCACGGCUAACUACGUG